GAAGGUAUAACUCAGAGGUAGAGUGUGUGUUUAAAAUGCACAAGAUCCUGGGCUCAAUCUCCAGUACCUCCA
rnacentral:tRNA from 1 species